UGUGGCAACAGCUUUUAAAUCUUAUUCUCAAAACACUGUUUACAAAGAUAUAAGUUAUGCCUCCAAGUAAAACAAAUUAAAUCCGACGAAACGAAAAUCCCGUUUCCAACCAUAUAGUACUGAAACGGUUGCGACAAAAACUAAUUCUGAGAAAACAAAAACCGAAAUGGUGGAUGAACUGUCAAAAAUUAGUUUCAAAGUGCCUACAAACUUCACAUUAAACGUUGUUAAAACUCUUGUUGUAUACAGAAAACAUUGGUAACAAAAACAGUGAUGCUCGCGUAGGAGACAUCGAAAAUACUUUAAGUGCAGCAGACAGUUUUCCAUCUGAUACGCAAACUGCUUCAACAGAGACACAAAGCCGUGAAAGCAUUGACAAUACUUCUUCUGCUACGGAAAAUGUUAACACUAAUUAAUAUAUUGGUGGCUGCUUUUAACACUAUGUCACAAUGCGUAAAUGGCCUUCAGAAAUUCGUCGAUACCCUGAUGACAGAGAAGCUCUAUAAUACUAACAAACCGUAUAAUGUACAACAAUGGUACGAUUCCAGUAAAACCGGACCGUCGAUACUAAACACACCGGAUGCGUUACCUCAUGGAUUUAAUAGAACAGGAGUUCGUUCUGAUGGUUUUCCUAAUGUCGACAUAGUUUCUACAGCUUUGCAGAAACAAAUAAUACACGAUACAACGAUUCAGAACCAUGGCACCGGAUGCAGACUCUCUUCCGGAACCGUGUCCCAAUAUCUCAGAUGUAAUUUGGUGUUAAAACAAACUGUCAAACAACUAUGGACGACGUCUAUAUCUAAAAGGACCAAGGACGUGUAUGAUAUUGGUUUCAUGCAUUUUUAGAGAUUUUUACUGUUAAAUAAUGUGACAUUUACAAAUAACUUGGCCCAGUAUGCCCAGUUUCGGAAGAAAUUCUCAUAUAUUGUGUUGCCCAUUGUCAAACAGUUCUGAAACUUCAUUAUUCAACCCUUAAACUUUAUCUAUGUGGAAUAAGGUACAACUGUUAAAAGAAAAAUUGUAGUGAUCCCUUAGAACUGUAUAACGGCAUACUAUUUCCAUAGCUUACAUUGAUCUUAAAUUCUGUCAAACGAUCUCAAAAUCAAAACAAGAGAGUAAGGCUACCAAUCACUUUGAUAUUCUUGAAAAAAUUAUAAAGAGAUUACAAAAAGGAGUUUUUUUCAAAGUUCAUUGACUUCAUGAUAGAAACAGCUAGCGUGAUUUCUUUCUUUGGCUUCCUCCGAUGCUGCGAAAUAACUGUUAUCAAAUCUGAACAAUUUAAACCUGCAAUUAAUUUAUGUAUAUCAGAUAUUUCAUUCACAGACAAUGUUACUAACCUACACUUAAAACAGUCAAAAACUGAUUCAUUUUGUAAGGGUAUAGAUAUUCAGUUACAUCAAAUUAAUAGUCAUAUUUGUCCUUAUCGUGUUUUAAAAAGAUAUUUAGAGAUCAGGAAAACGUGUAUAUCGUCUUAUCAAUUGGCAAUUUAGCCAUGGAAAGAAAAUUUUUUAUAACAAAAAUCGGACAUGUUUCAGAGUCAUGCGGUUAUGAUCCUAAAAACUUUUCAGGUCACUUAUUUAGAAUAGGUCCUGGAACCGUAGCUGGUCAAGCUAAAAUAGAGGAUCACGUGAUAAAAACGUUAGGCCGUUGGUCUUCAGAUUGCUAUGUGCGUUAUAUUCGCACUCACCCAACCUCUAUAAAACAUGCACAACAGCAACUAGCUAAGUCUGUUUAUCAUAGAUUAUAUUAUAGUCAGUUUUGAAUUUAUGGACACAAGAACUGCACGUUUGCUUUA